rnacentral:rRNA from 1 species
AGAAUCAACGCUGGCGGCGUGCCUAACACAUGCAAGUCGAACGAGAAAGGGGAGCAAUCCCUGAGUAAAGUGGCGCACGGGUGAGUAACACGUGACUAACCUACCCUGGAGUGGGGGAUAACUGAGGGAACCUUAGCUAAUACCGCAUAACACCUACGGGUCAAAGGAGCAAUUCGCUUAAGGAGGGGUCGCGGCCGAUUAGUUAGUUGGCGGGGUAAUGGCCCACCAAGACUAUGAUCGGUAU